rnacentral:lncRNA from 1 species
UUACGCAGUUUUUCGCACUGAAGAUCCGGUAAAAGAUUGGAUGAACGUGCCAAAAAACCGUAGAUUUCAAGAAUCAUUCAUUCAAUCAUUGUUCUUUUUUGUCUGUUUCAGGUAAUGAAACUUCUUCAACCAUUCUACCACACCUUGAAAACUAAGAGGAAAUGACGGCGGGAAUGGGCGACACAUCAAAGCGGAAACGGUGGUCGCGGGUCGAGACUCAACCAGAGCGGCAAUGACAUCUUACAAUCCCGCCAAAAUCGCCGUCACCAGUUACCUUCACAAUCAAAGUGCUAUCAGCUUGAAACAGUCGCAGGCGCAAGGUCAGGAGCCGUCGAAGAAGAGCAAGUCGCGGGGUUCUUUGUCGCCGGGGGCGUCGCCACCGCCCGGGGCUCCGGUGCGGGACGCGGCGAGCCUCAAGUCGAUCAAGUACGGGCCGGGGCAUGAGAAGUACCCCUCGUGGCCGGCGGCGCAGGGUGACUUCCACGCGGAGGGCGCGCCCCCCAACGCCGUUGCAGCCCCCCAGACCGGCUCGUCCCGCUCCAAGUCUUGGGCCGACCAGACCCACUACCCCAAGGAGAAGCCGGCCGCCCUCGCUCGCCCUUACAACAAGCGCUCCAACGCCUCUUUCACCCAACAGUUGAAGACGGUGAUGGAGCGGUGCGAGAAGAUUUCGCCGGAGACGUUCGAGUGCCGGGGUCCGAUGGGGCCGCCGGGCGGCGGCGGAGCCGGGGCGCGGAAGACGCCGGAGGUGUUCCUGCCGCCGGUGGACAGGGACGGAAAACCCCUCGGGACGGAGGAGUACUCGGUGCCCUCGCCGCCCGAACGGGACGUCUCCCUGUCCCUCAUGGCCGAGCCGCAACUCACCGAAGCAGAUCUCGAGGAAUACGCCCGCACCUACCACGACUCCUCUCACUCACAGAUCGAAAGUGACUAUUCGAGUUGUUAUGAAGAUGUGGAUAUUAGCCAGAGUCAUCUCACCAGAGCUGAGCUUGAACAGUAUACGCGAGAUUGUGAGGGGAGACCCACUCAUGUGCAUCAGCCCUCCUAUGCCCAGUCGGAAGGAUACCAUAGCUACGUUUCCAGCACAGACUCCACCACAACUCCUUUCCUUGAUAGGUUAAGAUGUGACAAUGAAGCUGUAGUUGGACUGAACGAAACCAGGGCUGGAAGAGACUCAAGUGCCAGUUCAGGGUCUUCAAGUGAAACACUGAAGUGGCAUGGAUCCCUCAGUGACGUAUCUGUGAGCGGGAGCUCAUGCGGUGGUCACCAACAACUGAUAGCGCACAGUGCCAAAGUUCAAACGCCUCAGAGGCAUCACUCGGAAUCGGUUCUAUAUUUGGGACAAGCGAAUGCUGCAUGGCAGUCGAAUGUUCAGAGAAAUAAUCAAAUCAACAGUCAAAUGAGGAAAUUGUUUCCUGUGAGCACGUAUACGGUUCAACCCUCAGAAGCAGUUUCUCCGAGAUCCCAACCUAGUUUGAGUGUUGCUGAACGAAUCACAAGGCUCGAGCGUCAGCAGCCACAACAACAACAGCAAGCGGCACAGUCAGCACGCUACUCGUUCCUAGAUCCGGAUAAAAGGCACAAGGUUCCAGAUAAUUCCCUCAAAGCAAUCCAGAAAAAAGCUCUUCUCUCUUUCUACGAGCGGCAUCAUUCGACAUGGCGCUCAGAGCCGCAGCUCUCCCCAACAUCAGCUCCCCCACCACAACCACCGCCUAGACCAAGGAAUCUGAAUUUACCGUCUAGACGCUCCUCACUUGCCGACAGUGCCAGUGGAUAUUGGAAAGAGAGCGAGGAUGAUAAUGGAGGCCUUAGUCCAGAAAGUCAUCAUUUUAAGGAAAAUCCAAGGCACCAACACAGCUCUAGUUGCGGCUCUUUAUCUACUGUGGUUUUGGGUCCCCUCAUCAUGGGCCCUUCAAUCUCCGUUGAUGACUGGGUCCCUGAGCGACCACCCAAGAAACCUCACUUGCGUUCAAGCUUUCCUGGUUCACUGCCACAACGCACCCCUAGUCCUGACCUGCCCCCGCCUUCUCCCCCUCCCGUUGUUGAAGACGAAGUUUUUGACACAGAUGAACCGUUACCACCGCCACCUCCGGAAGCAGAGAAUCCUGCUUGGAAUGCUGAUAGAACUUGUGAUAGCCCUGCCCCACCUAUACUCCCCAAACGGACCAACAACUUCUGCGCUACAGAUCAAAAGAAAAGUGAAGUGGAAAGGUAUUAUGAAAAUCGUGACAAUUUACAACGACUAGCCAACGACUCUUCCAUUAGUUUAGCAAAUCAAAUUUCGAAAAGUGAUGAAAAUCAAUUUUAUGAAAAUCCUGACGAUGUAAAAUUGGUGGAAAAAUCAAGGAGUAGUCCACGCAAUGUCCAAGACUCGAACAGUGGAAGUAAAUUAUCAUCCAUCCUGGAAAGACGGAAACAGUUCGAACAAAUUGAAGAACACAGUUAUAGUAACUACGCCAUCCUGAAUAGUUUAUCUCAGUCAUCUAAAAACUUACCAGGACCUCAAGUUCCUGUCGAGAGGAAGUCCUCUUUUUCAAGAAAUAGUAUUGCAAAUAGGAACAAUGGUGUGAAUAAAAGACUUUCAAACAAUAAUAGUGAUAUAGCAUUUACUAGUGAAGAUAUAGCUGCAGUGAAAGCGAGGGAAAACCUCGCAAGAAAAUCCAGUGUGAGAAGGGACGCAAUAUCUAAAAAGGCUAUGUUUCCUGCCAAAAAACCGGUUUAUCAAAGUGAAAGCUCAGUUUCGCGUCUCGCGAGUGCUGUCCAAAAACUCUCGACUAACGGGACAGUGGAAUCGGCUUCGUUUUUGCCGAUCCAGAAACAUAUUGAACCAGAGCGGUCUGGUCACGGUUUAUCGCGGCCUACAAACAACCUGGGAUCAAGAGCUCCACACCUUCCUCCUACUUUGCCGGCCCAGUGUCCACCUACCCAGCAUCAAAUCCGGUGGAGCGAGAGGGCAUUCAAAAGUCCAUGAUCACAGUGGCCACCAACGAUCAGUGUAAAAAUCACUCUUUUCGCUCCAAGACGGGGCGUAAUAACUGCAUUUUGGAGUUCCGAAAGUUCAUGACGAUCCCGAAGGAAUACCGGGGCUUAUGCACUAAUGCGUACAUGGCUCACUGCAGGAGAUUGAGACGAGGGAGUCCAAAAAUUUGCGCAUUUUUCCUCAAAACAUCCGCAGGGGACACAGCUCCACUUCAAGGAGAAUGGGUCGAUUUUUUACAGUGUGCCAACGAUAUAAAUUUGAAAUACGACGACCCGUAUACCGAGUCAGUUUUCGGGGCAGGCUCAUUGAAUUUUGAUUUAUUCGCUUUCAAUCAGGGAUAUUGACGUUGCUGUAAAUAAAUCUUUCUCCGACUUCGUUGAUUAUUUUUUUCAUUUUGAUUGAAGGUUCUGCUUUUUUGUGUCUGUCUGACAAGAGAGGCAAGAAUGUCCACGAUGUUUGGCUUUUGUGUGAUUUCUUGUGAAGUGAAGCCGUUUUAAAUUGCUGCAGAUGAUCCGCCGUCUCAAGUGUUCCUUUUUUCUGUCAGCCAAUAGUAAAUUAAUCAUAUUAAAACGAUGAGACAACCCAGCAGUAUUGAAACUAGUAACAGAGAAACUUGUAACCCUGAAAAUAGAAGUAACAUACCUCUCUUAGUGAUCGUUGAAAGUAGACUCAUGAGCACGCGUAUGCUUUGUAAAAUAAAUUUGAUUUCAAAACAAAAUCCCAUUAAAUGCAGUGUACAGGGUUGCUUUAGUCAGCGAGAACCUAGAAAUGUCAAGGAUGAAUUUCAAGAAAUUCCAGUACAUUGGAAAUUGUCAGAAAUUAUGACGAAAGGAUUUGAAAAAAUGUUUCAUAUCACCCCAAUUAGUUUUACAGAAUACACGCAACGUUUCGAACAACAAAUGUUGCAUGUUCAGAUUUAGCAGUUGUGGUUUUUACGUAUUUUUAACCAUUUCCUCGCACAGGUCACAAAAUUCAACGACAAUCCGUUAGGGAAUUGUAAUAAAAUUUGAUGAGGAAUUUUACCAACAUUUGGCGAGGAAUUUUACCAACAUUUGACGAGGAAUUUCACCAUUUGACAAUUAAUUUUAUCCAAAUUUUAGAAGGAAUUUUAUCAAAAAUUACAAGGAUUUUACCACAAUUUGACAAGGAAUUGCAUUAAAAUGUGCCAGCUAAGUUCACUGAACUUUUUUAGGAAAAUCUGGGAAAUGUCAGGGCAUUUCAUUUUAUAAAUUCUACGGCAACCCUGUUUGCCCAUCCAUAUUCGCUUUUAACACCAGUAAUUUCGCCCUGAAAACGUGCCACAGCUAAACUUGUAGAACAGACUUGUUAGUUGGCCCAUUUGAGGUCGCUCCGAGCGACAUCUCGCUUUAGACGGCAUUUUUCUGCAACGACCCGCGGUGGGAAGGGGGGGGGGUUGUUGUGCAUCGGAGGGAAAAUGCCCGGCUAAUUUUUAUUUCUCCUUGGCCUUACAUUCAAUCCCGAUGUGUUUAUUAGAGCGCGCUUCCUCGGGCCUGACUGAUGAGGCCGGUCGUGCCGGCCACUGAGCUAUCUCGGCUAUUUCAUUCCUUCCAAUUAAGCGCGAUCAAUCUUAAGUUGCUCCGCUCGGACACUCUUCUUCCUCAAAGCAGACGAGAGAGACGCCAUGCGAUCGACGGAAAUGGAACUCUUACUCUCGAGGUUUGUCAUUCGAGCAUGAACGCUUACGUGGAGCAUGUAGGAUCAAAAGGUCACCGAGUCGCUUUUGCCAACUUCCUGAGAACCGCAAGAAAAUGUAACUCCUUUUUUUUGGUAUGGUGAAAUUGUUUAGCUCUUCGCGAUACAGGGUGUCUACUGUACGGAAAAAGUGCGGAUACGCUGAAAAAGCACGGAUUUCGGAGGUCGGGGUGGAAAUACGGAAAAGGUACGGAAAUUCGAGAUUUUCUCGGUAAACGGUAGGAAGUAACAGGGUGUCCAGCAUCAGGAAAAACUAGAAAAUAUUAGGAAUUUUGGCCGAUCAGGAAAAAAAUCAGGAAAAUAUCAGGAACAUCGGAAAAAUCGGACGUUUUAUCAGGAAUUCUUCUAACGCGAAUCUCCUCAGCGGAGAAAGUCUUACUGCUUAUUGCCUACCGUGCCAGGAGUCGAAAAAAAUCAGGAAAAUAUCAGGAAUUUUCAAAAUGAAAAAAUCAGGAAAAUCUUAGAAUUUUUCAAAAUUAAAAAAUACUAGACACCCUGACUUGGAGGUUCACGGUUUCCAUGUAUUAAGUUCCCGGGUCAAUCCCUCGUGUUUUCCGGUUUAUUCCUUUGUCAUUCCAUUUUCCCAAUCCGAAUUUAGUUAAAAAUGCGUGUAAGGUGAGAAAAUAGUGAGAGAAGGUAUUGAUAUUUAAGAAUUGCCAAAAAAAUGAAUUUCGGGAAAGUAAGGAAAAAGCAAGGAAAGGGUACUGAAUAAGUAAGGAAUUUGAAUGACAGGGUACCAAUAGACAUUCUGAGAAGGAAUGUAUGGUAAAACGAACUGUGCGUGUCUUUAUAGCAACAUUUGCAAAUAUCCUAUCUAUAUUCCCGAUUGUGACACUGCGGAGGCCUAAAAUAAGAGAACCAAUCAGGAAAGGAUUCGUAUUGUCUUUACUCUCAGUACAAAGGGAGUCAACUCUACUCUAUUCGGUAGCGAUGCGGCAACCGGUAGGCCGACCGCGGCCUCCCCGAGCGAGAGUACUGAGGAAGGUGAAUAGCAAAUCAGUGAAGUGGAGUGUUGCCGCACUGGGCCACCCCGAAAAGUCGACGGGGCGAUUCGUAGCGGAGUGCGGAGACCGGGAUUUCUCCGGGCGAUCUGGCAACGCGGCCGGCGUCUAGGCACGGGCCCCCCGUAAAUUGGCCACUUGAUUACGCGGCCGGGAGGUACUUGGGUGCCGGAGAGAGUUUCGGCCACGACGCCACGCUCCAACCGGAAAUCAAAAGUCGAGGCCCUUUCGAAGCAUCCACAUGGAUUUUUCGAUUCCUUCCCGAUGGGGAAUAGAGAAUUUGCAGGAAAUUUGAUAAGUUUCGUGUUUAAGUGGAAACUAUUGAGUGAACUGAACACGAGGAUACCUUUGGUUCAUGAAUUGAACAACUAUUAGAGAAGAUAUGACAAAAUCAUCUAAUCUGCUAAAAUACGUGUGUUUAAAUGGGAAAUGCCGCCAAAUGACGUUACCAGGCGGUGCAUUUUCUCACUUUUAAAUCUAUUUUUAUACUAAUUCUCAUAACCAUAAAAAAUGCUGCAAAAUCACACUGGUAAAAAAAAAACACAUUGGAUCUAGAGUCCAGGCCCUUGAAAACUUCGACAAGCAAAUGGACUGUUGAUUCAAUCAGAUUUAAGCUUAAAUC